UUUAUUGUUCUAUUAAAUGUUUAAUGUUCUAUUAAAACAUUUCCACUAUCGUAGUGUAAAUCAUGCCACGAAGUGACAGAAGAUAGUUGCAAUACUUUUCCAGAAUAAAGAAAUAAAGAGCUAUUCUAAAUCAAUGACAGUCUAAUUGAAAAAUGGGCAGAACUUGAACAACCAUUUCUCACAAUAGGAUAUCUAAAUGCCU
rnacentral:lncRNA from 1 species